rnacentral:rRNA from 1 species
UGGCGAACGGGUGAGUAACACGUGAGCAACCUGCCCCUGACUUCGGGAUAACUUCGGGAAACCGGAGCUAAUACCGGGUAUGACCUGUCCGGGCAUCCGGGUGGGUGGAAAGAUUUAUCGGUUGGGGAUGGGCUCGCGGCCUAUCAGCUUGUUGGUGGGGUGAUGGCCUACCAAGGCGACGAUGGGUAGCUGGUCUGAGAGGACGAUCAGCCACACUGGGACUGAGACACGGCCCAG